AUUGAACGCUGGCGGCAUGCCUUACACAUGCAAGUCGAACGGCAGCGCGGGAGCAAUCCUGGCGGCGAGUGGCGAACGGGUGAGUAAUACAUCGGAACGUGCCCAAUCGUGGGGGAUAACGCAGCGAAAGCUGUGCUAAUACCGCAUACGAUCUACGGAUGAAAGCAGGGGAUCGCAAGACCCUGCGCGAAUGGAGCGGCCGAUGGCAGAUUAGGUAGUUGGUGAGGUAAAGGCUCACCAAGCCUUCGAUCUGUAGCUGGUCUGAGAGGACGACCAGCCACACUGGGACUGAGACACGGCCCAGACUCCUACGGGAGGCAGCAGUGGGGAAUUUUGGACAAUGGGCGAAAGCCUGAUCCAGCCAUGCCGCGUGCAGGAUGAAGGCCUUCGGGUUGUAAACUGCUUUUGUACGGAACGAAACGGUCUUUUCUAAUAAAGAAGGCUAAUGACGGUACCGUAAGAAUAAGCACCGGCUAACUACGUG
rnacentral:rRNA from 1 species